UACGUAGGGGGCAAGCGUUGUCCGGAUUUAUUGGGCGUAAAGAGCGUGUAGGCGGCCUGACAGGUCUGCUGUGAAAACUCGAGGCUCAACCUCGAGAUGUCGGCGGAAACCGUCUGGCUAGAGUCCGGAAGAGGAGAGUGGAAUUCCUGGUGUAGCGGUGAAAUGCGCAGAUAUCAGGAAGAACACCAUGGCGAAGGCAGCUCGU
rnacentral:rRNA from 1 species